AGAGUUUGAUCCUGGCUCAGAGCGAACGCUGGCGGCGUGCUUAACACAUGCAAGUCGAAUGCGCAGCGGUCUGUAGCAAUACAGGCCGUGGGCGCAUGGCGAACGGGUGCGUAACACGUGGGCAACCUUCCCUUCGGUGGGGGAUACCCCCGCGAAAGCGGGACUAAUACCGCAUAACACUCCCUUGGUUAGCUCUGAGG
rnacentral:rRNA from 1 species